AACGCACCUUGCGCUCCUUGGUAUUCCGAGGAGCAUGCCUGUUUGAGUGUCAUUAAAUUCUCAACCAUACAAGUUUUUCGAAACCUGUCUGGCUUGGAUCAUGGGGUUUGCAGGCUCACCACGAGUCGGCUAUCCUUAAAUGCAUUAGCAGAGCUUUUGCCGCUAACCUCUGGUGUGAUAAUUAUCUACGCCACUGGAACGCGACAUCUUGGGGCUCAGCUUCUAACCGUCCUCACGGACAACAUUUGACAAUCUGACCUCAAAUCAGGUAGGACUACCCGCUGAACUUAA
rnacentral:misc_RNA from 1 species